rfam:Gossypium raimondii chromosome 6, whole genome shotgun sequence.
AUUCUAUGAUGAGGGCACUUCCAUAAUAAUUCUUUAUACAUUUCCCAUGCCUCAUACAAUGACUCAUCAUCCAUUUUUUGGAAAACAAUGAUCUCGUUCCUCAACUU